rnacentral:sRNA from 23 species
CCAUGUAAACCACAGUGUUAUUAUGCAGGUGUUGCGGUGAAUCCCGUUAGCACGGGGCAAAUUGAUCAUCUACUUUUGUUAAUCAACGUUGCAGCAGACAUGAGCGCCGCGAGUCAUGGCUGAUCAACCAAAGGCUCACCGGGUAGCGAUCGGCACUGCAGCACCUACUCUACCCAUUACUUAAAUCAAAGGCUACUUCGGUAGCCUUUUCUUUUUCC